rnacentral:sRNA from 1 species
AAUAUCGAAAACAAACAAAAUAAUAACGGAGAAAAAAUAUCAAAAACUAACCCAUAUUACAAACGGUACAGAAUCUACUUAUAUAUUUUUGCAACACUUUUAUGAAAUAAAUCCUGGAGUUUGAACUUAUUUACAACCCAAUGCCAUUGGCAUUAAAUGUUUUAACAAACUUAUUAUCAAAUCUAUAAAUCGAUUUUGUUACUAAAAUUUAGGAAACUAAAA